UUGGAGGGCAAGUCUGGUGCCAGCAGCCGCGGUAAUUCCAGCUCCAAUAGCGUAUAUUAAAGUUGUUGCAGUUAAAAAGCUCGUAGUUGAAUUUCGGGGUCAGUAGAUUGGUCGUGCCACUGGUAUGUACUGGUCUCACUGGCUCCUCCUUCCUGAUGAACCGUAAUGCCAUUAAUUUGGUGUUGCGGGGAGACUGGACUGUUACUUUGAAAAAAUUAGAGUGUUUAAAGCAGGCUAACGCUUGAAUACAUUAGCAUGGAAUAAUGAAAUAGGACGUUCGAUCUUAUUUUGUUGGUUUCUAAGAUUGACGUAAUGAUUAAUAGGGAUAGUUGGGGGCAUUAGUAUUCAAUUGUCAGAGGUGAAAUUCUUGGAUUUAUUGAAGACUAACUACUGCGAAAGCAUUUGCCAAGGAUGUUUUCAUUAAUCAAGAACGAAAGUUAGGGGAUCGAAGACGAUCAGAUACCGUCGUAGUCUUAACCAUAAACUAUGCCGACUAGGGAUCGGAUGAUGUUAAUUUUUUAAUGACUCAUUCGGCGCCUUACGGGAGACCAAAGUGUUUGGGUUC
rnacentral:rRNA from 1 species